rnacentral:rRNA from 1 species
AUGAACGCUGGCGGCGUGCCUAAUACAUGCAAGUCGAGCGAACAGACGAGGAGCUUGCUCCUCUGACGUUAGCGGCGGACGGGUGAGUAACACGUGGAUAACCUACCUAUAAGACUGGGAUAACUUCGGGAAACCGGAGCUAAUACCGGAUAAUAUAUUGAACCGCAUGGUUCAAUAGUGAAAGACGGUUUUGCUGUCACUUAUAGAUGGAUCCGCGCCGCAUUAGCUAGUUGGUAAGGUAACGGCUUACCAAGGCAACGAUGCGUAGCCGACCUGAGAGGGUGAUCGGCCACACUGGAACUGAGACACGGUCCAGACUCCUACGGGAGGCAGCAGUAGGGAAUCUUCCGCAAUGGGCGAAAGCCUGACGGAGCAACGCCGCGUGAGUGAUGAAGGUCUUCGGAUCGUAAAACUCUGUUAUUAGGGAAGAGCAAAUGUGUAAGUAACUAUGCACGUCUUGACGGUACCUAAUCAGAAAGCCACGGCUAACUACGUG